rnacentral:rRNA from 1 species
GACGAACGCUGGCGGCGUGCUUAACACAUGCAAGUCGAACGGAAAGGCCCUGCUUUUGUGGGGUGCUCGAGUGGCGAACGGGUGAGUAACACGUGAGUAACCUGCCCUUGACUUUGGGAUAACUUCAGGAAACUGGGGCUAAUACCGGAUAGGAGCUCCUGCUGCAUGGUGGGGGUUGGAAAGUUUGGGCGGUUGGGGAUGGACUCGCGGCUUAUCAGCUUGUUGGUGGGGUAGUGGCUUACCAAGGCUUUGACGGGUAGCCGGCCUGAGGGGGUGACCGGCCACAUUGGGGCUGAGGUACGGCCCAGACUCCUACGGGAGGCAGCAGUGGGGAAUAUUGCACAAUGGGCGGAAGCCUGAUGCAGCAACGCCGCGUGGGGGAUGACGGCCUUCGGGUUGUAAACCGCUUUCGCCUGUGACGAAGCGUGAGUGACGGUAAUGGGUAAAGAAGCACCGGCUAACUACGUG